ACAUAGGGGCCAUUUGGCCCGACCGCUUUUCCCCAAUACACUAAUCACUCAUUUUGUUAUGGUAAUGAGGCUGUUAGUGGCAGUGUGUGGGGUGAGGGGGUCACAUUUCACACACUUCACACUUCAGUGGUGAAGUCAUGUUGGCUACUUCUGUGUGAAUGUGAGAAUGAGGAAUAAAAACACAUUCUAUUCUAAAAUGUGAACAUGUGAAUGUCCCAUGUGACCAUAACGACUCAUGUGACUGCAACCAGACAAUUGUUUGAUGGAUAAAUACCUCAGUGCACAUGGACUAUCGCUUCAGUUCCCUCAAGAAUUUUGUGGUGAAAGAAGCUCCUCUCCAAGGAACGAAGAUGCAGAGAUUCAACAUUCAACAGGCAUUAGCACCACAUGAGCACCGCAUGAGCACCCAGUGCACUCAUCUGUUAAUCAGCAUGGCCCUUGAUUGACCCAUGAGCUUCAUAUAUGACGACAUCUCCUGCAACGCUUUCAUUGGGUUGUGUGGCAUCACACUCACAAACGCAAUUCUCUACAGUUACGAGAACCACUACUCAUCCAGAUUCCAGUGAAAUUUUUCGCCUGAAAUAGUACGCAUCACAUCAAAGGAGGGUGUCAAGAAACAGGAUGCAGAUCAGAGCUAAAAUGUUUCCAAGUCAAAGAGACAUCAACAACCAUUAUGUGUGAUAUGUGAGACAGGAAACUCACUAAAUGUUUUGAGAAUAAAAAAGUAUGUGAAGA